rnacentral:lncRNA from 1 species
ACUUUAUGGAUGCUGUGAAAGAGAACAAGCCCACUUGAUUUCUGGUUCAUAUAGUGUUCAGCCAAUAAGAAGACAUGGCAAGAGAUCUGAAGAAGAGAGGGAAAAGGUCAGGAUGAAUAGUAACUCUACUCUUCCUGCCAUUCCUGUUAAGAAGAACUACUUUUGAAGCACUGUUCCUAAUGGAUUUAUGUGACGUCUCAGCUGUAUGGAUCCUGAGAAAUGAGAUGGAAGGAAAGGUUAAGAUUGUUUACAGGAUAAAACUACACAGAGCUACAAAAUACCCACUUAAGAAUGCCCCCAAGCAGAUGAAAGAUGAGGGAAGAAAAGGAAUUUGAAAAAUUCCAAGUUUAUUUUUCCUAGAAAAAUAAGGAUCAGACAAAUAAGAAAGAAC